rnacentral:rRNA from 1 species
AAUAUUGGACAAUGGGGGCAACCCUGAUCCAGCGAUGCUGCGGGUGUGAAGAAGGUCUNCGUAUUNUNAAGCACUUUAAGUUUGGNGGCAGUGCUGUAGGUUAAUACCUCGACGUCUUUACGUUACUAACAGAUUAAGCACCGGCUAACUCUGUGCCAGCAGCCGCGGUAAUACAGAGGGUGCAAGCGUUAAUCGGAAUUACUGGGCGUAAAGCGCGCGUAGGUGGUUCAGUAAGAUGGGUGUGAAAUCCCCGGGCUUAACCUGGGAACUGCUUUCAUAACUGCUCAGCUAGAGUACGGUAGAGGGUAGUGGAAUUUCCUGUGUAGCGGUGAAAUGCGUAGAUAUAGGAAGGAACACCAGUGGCGAAGGCGACUACCUGGACUGAUACUGACACUGAGGUGCGAAAGCGUGGGGAGCAAACA